CGGGCUUUAAUUUGACUCAACGCGGGGAACCUCACCAGGCCGGACAUAGUCAUGAUUGACAGAUUGAGAGUUCUUUCUCGAUUCUAUGGGUGGUGGGCAUGGCCGUUCUUAGUCGGUGAGGUGACUUGUCUGGUUAAUUCCGAUAACGGACGAGACCUCGACCUACUAAAUAGCCGACGUUUACUUCUGUAGACGUUUGGCUUCUUAGAGGGACUUUGUGAGUCUAUCACAAGGAAGUUCGAGCCUAUAACAGGUCUGUGAUGCCCUUAGAUGGCCUGGGCUGCACGUGCGCUACAAUGACGGAGUCAGCGAGCUCUGCCCUUCUCCGUCCGGAGUGGGAAAUCUUGUGAAACUCCGUCGUGAUAGGGAUUGACCUUUGCAAUUAUGGGUCAUGAACGAGGAAUUCCUAGUAAGGACAAGUCAUCACCUUGUGCUGAUUACGUCCCUGCCCUUUGUACACACCGCCCGUCGCUUCAACCGAUUGGAUGACACGGCAAAUUACACGGACUUUCGAUCCAGCCUUGUUUUACAACGCUUUUCGAGAGGAAGUGUUGUGAGCCUUAUCAUCUAGAGGAUGAAGAAGUCGUAACACGGUAUCCGUAGGUGAACCUGCAGAAGGAUC
rnacentral:rRNA from 1 species